GGGAAGGUGGCUCAGUGGUAGGGCGCUUGCCUGGCAUGCAUGAGGCCCUGGGUUCCAUUCCUCAGCCCCA
rnacentral:tRNA from 1 species